GAAAUGCGAUAAGUAAUGUGAAUUGCAGAAUUCAGUGAAUCAUCGAAUCUUUGAACGCACAUUGCGCCCGCCAGUAUUCUGGCGGGCACGCCUGUUCGAGCGUCAUUACAACCCUCAGGCCCCCGGGCCUGGCGUUGGGGAUCGGCGGAAGCCCCCUGCGGGCACAACGCCGUCCCCCAAAUACAGUGGCGGUCCCGCCGCAGCUUCCAUUGCGUAGUAGCUAACACCUCGCAACUGGAGAGCGGCGCGGCCACGCCGUAAAACACCCAACUUCUGAAUGUUGACCUCGAAUCAGGUAGGAAUACCCGCUGAACUUAAGC
rnacentral:misc_RNA from 1 species